CAGAGAUCAGCUGUGAUUAUCUGGCAGCAGCACUGAAGUCCAACCCAUCGUAUCCCAGAGUGCUGGACCUGAGUGGAACCUACAACAACCUGCAGGAUUCAGGAGUGAAGCAGCUGUGUGUUCUUCUGGAGAAUCCACGAUGUCGAUUUGAAACUCUGAGACUGAGUCACUGUGACCUGUCAGAGAGAAGCUGUGAAGCUCUGUCCUCAGGUCUCAGCUCUCAGACCUCUAAUCUGAGAGAGCUGGACCUGAGUAACAUUAACCUGAAGGAUUCAGGCGUGAAGCUUCUGUCUGAAGGACUGAAGAGUCCACACUGUACACUGGAAACUCUCAGUCUGUCAGGCUGUCUGAUCACAGAGGAAGGAAG